UGGGGAAUCUUGCGCAAUGGGCGAAAGCCUGACGCAGCCAUGCCGCGUGAAUGAUGAAGGUCUUAGGAUUGUAAAAUUCUUUCACCGGGGACGAUAAUGAUGGUACCCGGAGAAGAAGCCCCGGCUAACUUCGUGCCAGCAGCCGCGGUAAUACGAAGGGGGCUAGCGUUGCUCGGAAUUACUGGGCGUAAAGGGCGCGUAGGCGGAUCGUUAAGUCAGAGGUGAAAUCCCAGGGCUCAACCCUGGAACUGCCUUUGAUACUGGCGAUCUUGAGUAUGAGAGAGGUAUGUGGAACUCCGAGUGUAGAGGUGAAAUUCGUAGAUAUUCGGAAGAACACCAGUGGCGAAGGCGACAUACUGGCUCAUUACUGACGCUGAGGCGCGAAAGCGUGGGGAGCAAACAGG
rnacentral:rRNA from 1 species